rnacentral:rRNA from 1 species
GAUGAACGCUGGCGGCGUGCCUAAUACAUGCAAGUCGAGCGAACAGACGAGGAGCUUGCUCCUCUGACGUUAGCGGCGGACGGGUGAGUAACACGUGGAUAACCUACCUAUAAGACUGGGAUAACUUCGGGAAACCGGAGCUAAUACCGGAUAAUAUAUUGGACCGCAUGGUUCAAUAGUGAAAGACGGUUUUGCUGUCACUUAUAGAUGGAUCCGCGCCGCAUUAGCUAGUUGGUAAGGUAACGGCUUACCAAGGCAACGAUGCGUAGCCGACCUGAGAGGGUGAUCGGCCACACUGGAACUGAGACACGGUCCAGACUCCUACGGGAGGCAGCAGUAGGGAAUCUUCCGCAAUGGGCGAAAGCUUGACGGAGCAACGCCGCGUGAGUGAUGAAGGUCUUCGGAUCGUAAAACUCUAUUAUUAGGGAAGAACAAAUGUGUAAGUAACUAUGCACGUCUUGACGGUACCUAAUCAGAAAGCCACGGCUAACUACGUG